ACUUGAUGGGGAUAAAAACCUAAUUCCCUGUCCCGACUAGGAUGGGGAUAAAAUCCGGAGAACAUGAUGGGGAGUGAAAUUUGGGGAUGGGGAUAAGCCCCAUCCCCAUCCCCAUCCCGUUGCCGUUCCUAUGUUAGAUGUGCUAUGUAGUUCAAUUACAAGACAUGUUAGAAGCUCAAAAAGUUAGUUAUUGUUGCCUGCAUUGGCAUCUCAAUUGGUUCAUGAGUGUUAGAUUGUGGACGAGGGCAUCAAACCAAGCCUGGCAACCGCAGACUCGUAAUAUGAGAGUUACACCCAAUGUGGUGGGUUGUGGGCACCCAGCAUUGGUCCUCCCACAGUCCCAUCUAAUGGGCCGCUAAGUCACCGUGAUUCACUCAUCUACUACCAUGUUGGACCGGGGUGUGGGGGCUAUGGGGGUGGGGAAUUUUGCUUGUCUGGGUAAGUUAGUCAUUAUUGCUUGCUCGUAACAAUAAGUAAAUCACAUGUCAAACUGGGAAAUGUUUG